UGCGGAGCGGCUGGGCCCGUGAGCCAUGGCCGCUGAGCCUGCGCGUCCAGAGCCUGUGCUCCACAACAGGAGAGGCCACAAUAGUGAGGGGCCCACGUACCGCAAAAAAAAAAAAAAUUAUUGCAGAAGAAGAAACUCAAUGGGGUCUGACUUCAAUAAUACUCAUCAAAGGUAAAUUAAUAUAACAAAAUACCACUUCAUGCCCAUCAAAUGGGCAAAAAUCAAAGUCUUACAAUAACAAUGUUAAUGAAGAUGUAACAUUGUGGAGACUCUGGUGAGCUGCUGAUAGGAGUGUGGAUUGGUGCAAGCACUCCAGAGAGCCAUUUGGCAAUAUCUAGUAACUUUGAAGAUGAUCAUCCUCUACAACCUAGAAGUUUUACUCCUCUGCAAGGCCCUUGCUCCUCAAAGCGUGGUCCUAGGACCAGCAACAUCAACACCAUCUGGAAACUAUGCAGAAUCUCAGGCCCCAUCCCAAACCUACCAAAUCAGAGUCUGCAUUUUAACAAGACUCACCAGAUGAUUAUAUGCACAUGAAUAUAUGAGAAACUACUGCAUGUGGGAAAAGGAGACAUGUAUAAAACUUUAAAUAGAAUUGCUUGUAGUAGCAAAACAUUGGAAAAAACCAGAAGUCCAUGCCCAUAAUAACAGAUACACUUUGGUAUAAUAGGAUACAUCUGUAUAACAACUUGAGUUACAUGUAUAAACAGCCAAGAAAGCACAGGUGCAGAAUGAUUUGUAUAAUAUACCACUGAAAGUACAAAGUACAAAACAAUAUUAUAUAUUGCUUAUGAAUUUAUAAACAUAGUAAAGGAAUAACAGCAUGAGAAUAAUAAGCACCAAAUUCAGAAUAGAGCUUGUUCAGGGUGGGGAAAAAAAAGAAUGAGAUUUAGGAGGCAUAUACAGGGGGCUUUAUAUCUGUGACUUUUUAAAAAUUUAAACUUAAUAUGACAAUAGUAAAAUUUUAUAGAGUGGGUGAUGAGUACAUAAUUAUUCAUUAUAUUUUUUCUGUACUUCUCCAUGUACUUGAAUUAAGUUUACAAAUUUUUAAAGGUUUAAUUUAGAAAAACAAAAAAAGGAAUGCCUUCUUUCCCACCCUCAAUUUUGUAUUAUCGAGUAGCUUUUAGAUUUCUGAAGUGAUCACUAUGAAUCAACUAGUUUGUCAAAUUGUUUCCAAGUCUUGAAUUAAAUAUUCCACUCUGAAGAUUCCAUUCAUUCAAGUACUGAAGUACAAGGAGUAAAACUACUCUAAAGAACAACUGACUGUGGAUGUAGACCAUGUUAUUUUUGCUGCUAAUGAAAUGUUAAAGGUACACAUUCAAAUAUUUGUGGAGCAAAAUGGAAACUACAUUUGAUUCACUUAUUUGGGUAAGAAUAUGUGUUUGUCUCUCUACUUACACCAGACAAGGAAGAUAAUCUAGAAUCAAUACGAUAACCUUGAGGCUCUUUUCUCAACCAUAUGUUAUCAACCAACUGGAAGUCUAGUCUUAUUUCCUUGGUCAUUUAUAACGUAAACAGCAUUUAGUCCUGUCAGCAUUGAAGUGGAGAAAUAGAGGAAUUCUCUGCCACGGAUAUUUUUUUAUCACAAUGGUUGUCAAGCUUUUCCAUUUGGAAACCUUCUAUUGACUCUAUAUGAUUCACAUCUCCCCUAUACCAAGAAAAAAAAUUCAAAAGAAGACAUGACUUUACUGGAAUUAUCUAUUAAUUUAGAAGCUGUUCAACUGAGGGACAUUUACAUAAUUCAGUAGAGAAAACAUACAGUUCUCUGUGUAAGAAAAAGUUUGCCUGAUUUAUAGGAAUUGUUGAUCAUCAAUAUUAAGGACCCACCAAAUGCAAAUGUUACACUAAGGAUUCAAUCCUAAGACCUACUGAGGUUUGGAAACAGGCUCUGAAGGAUUAUGGGAAGUUCUAAACAAAGUGUCAAGUCUAUCAAGGAGCUCAUCAUCAAAGAUGAAGAUGAAGGAGAACAGAAUCAAAUUCAAAUGGUAACAUAUAUACAAAAGCACUGCAGUGAGUAUAUCAAAAUGCUACAGAGUAAGGUUAAUGGAGUCACGAGGAGCCAUGAGCCUGUGGUAACUUCCCAGAGGAAAUGAAUUUUAAUAGUUUUGAGGGGAAGUGAAAUCAUAAUGGGAAGGAGAAAUAGCUCAAAGGGCCAGAAGUGAGCUUCUAAAGCGAGAUAAGCGGAGCCUGGGAAGACUAUAUUCACUUUAUGAUAUAGAGUUUGAAAAGAUUAUCUCUUUAGAUGAUCUAAAUGUGAGCUUGGGCAGGUUAACUUUUCUAAUCCCCUUAUCUGUAGAAUAGGUAAUAUUCACCACCCAGAGAUUGUGUGAUCAGUAAUGAGUGUAACAUCCUUAGGAGAGAAAUUAUGUUCAAUAAUUCCAUUAUUCACUAAAAUUAUGCUUGUUCACUAUAGAGAAUUCAGACCACAUAGAAAUACAUAAAGUGAAAAUUAUACUCCACGUUCCCAAUAACAUUGUCUUUAACAUUUUUGUGUGCAUUUCUUCCAUUUUUAUUCCUUAUACACAUUCUGAUAGGUAUUAUCAUUAUCGAUGCUAUCAUACUAUUUUGCAUCUUGUCACUGAACAGAACGUCUUGAAGAACCUUCCAUGUCAGUACAUAUAGAUUUACCUCACUGUUUUUUGUUUUUUUAGAUAAGUAGAUCUAUUAAUAUAGGAUGCUUAUGAAGGAUAGAAGCAGGCAAGCAAGAGAGCUCUGCCCCGAGAACUAAGUGGGCUACAUUUUUAUAAUCAAAGGAAAAGUGGGGAGGGAGAAAAGACCACCUUCUUCCUCUUCCUUUGUAAAGUUAUUGCAGGAAACUUGGGCACAAGAGGUUGGUCAUGUCCCAGGUGAGUCGCUGGGUUGGGCCACCAAUUCUUUCCUUCACACAGGAAAGAAUUCAAGAGUGAGCCAUAAUAAACUGAAAGCAGAGAUACACAUUCCAUGGACAGAAUGCGGUCUGUCCCAAAAGGCGAGUGGCCCCAGCAGAAACAUGCUCCACAUACAGGGGGCGGGCCAUCUCAAAAGGCGAGAGCGGCUGACCUCACUGUUUUCAAAGUCCAUAUAGUAUUCCACUGUGUGUCCAUUGCUUAAUUUACUUAACCAGGCCCCUAUUUAUGGGCCCACAGUCCUUCACUAGGACAUUCUAGAACAUAUAUCUUUGCAUUGUGGUAGUGUUUUGUAAGAAGCCAAAGUGCUGAGUUGAAAAUUUUUCAUUUUAAUAGAGUUUGUUAAAUUGUUCUUUGAAAAGCCUUAUUGAUUUAUCCCUCUCCGCUUUCCUCCCCACCAUGUAGGUGCUGAAGACAGAAGACAUAACCUAUUCGCAUUUCAAAGGAUAAUAGAUGAUGGAUUUUUGUCAUUGAAAAUAUACAGCAAUAAUAGCCAUGAAGACUGGGAGACUGAUCAGCAGCGUUGCUGUACUUGCCUGGCCAACCUGAAACCCAGGGAGGCUGUCUCCUGUGACCAACACACCUGCAGGGCAGAGUGGUGCUACAGACAGCUGCGCUGUGAGUCACGAUCUACGAUCUCGGUGACACUGCCCAGAAAUCCACACAGUUCCUCCAGGGGGCUCGGGCAGUACCGAAAGGUGACAGACACCCAAGUUGCUCCCAAACAUCCUCUACAACAAACCGGGGAAAAGAGAGGUUCUCGGAAGAUGGUCUUGGGAAACCUUGCUACUACAUGGAUGAAAAUAAAAUUGGAUCCCCACCUACCACUACGUACGAAGUGAACUCUAGAUUGAUUAAAGACCAAUAUCUGAAAGCUGAAACAAUGGGACUAAUAGAAGUAGGUGUGGGUGACUAUCUAAGUGACCUGGCGGAGUAGAGAACUUCUUAAACUAAACCUCAAAAGCAUGAAAGUCCUUGAACAUUUCUUCCAUUCACCUUGGUUUUCCAGUCCUCCCUCACCUCUUGGUCAGCCCUUCUCAAUUGCCGAGAGGUUAUCUUUUGUUUAAAAACAAAAGUGGAACAACAAAACUUUCAAUUCGUCCUUCCUAUAAAUCAAAGAGAUAGUCUUUUUUCUAGGGUUUUCCUUCGUCCAGCUCAGGGGUCAGUAAUCUAUGGCCCAUGAGCCAAGUCUAGCCUACCUCACAGUUUGGUACAGUGUGCUAAAAAAGGUUUUUACAUUUUCAGAUGGUUGAGGAAAAAACAGAAGAAGAAUAUUUUGUGACACUUGAACAACCUAUGAAAUGUCAGUGUCCAUAAAUAAAGUUCUGUUGGAACCCAGCCAAAAUCACUUAUUUCCAUCUUGUCUACACCUGCUUUCUCACCGCAGCUGCAGGGCUGAGUAGUUGUGACAGAGACUGUACAACUCCCAAAGCCUGAAGUAUUGACUCUCUGGCCCUUGACUGGAAAAGGUCUGCCACCUGGAUUGCAUGCCCCUUGAGGAUGGGAGUCGUAUCCAAUAGGUCUUUUAUUUCCCUGAUGUCUUAGCACAGGGCCUUGCAGGUAACCAGUGCUAUUUAUAACACAUAGGACUACUUUUGGCUUCAAGUAACAGAAUAUCCUACCGAUAGGGUUUUUAAUUCUAACGUGACAAGGAAUCCAGAGAUAGGGCUGGCACUGAUUCAACAGCUCAAGGUCUCUUCCCCUGUCCCCUCAGGGUUGCAAGAGAAUAGAGAUAGCUCCUCAGAGAGUUUCUUCAAGUGACCAUGUUCAAAGACAGAAAACUGGCAGCAACAAGGGCAAAGAAAUGACCUGGUAUACCCUUCUCUUAUAGGAGAAGAAAAU